CCCUGCUUCCUGAAUAUGUUCAUUAGUAUGAAAUUAUGUCAAACUUAAACAUAUAUUCAUAUAGAUUCUCAAUUAACCAAUGAUGACUCUGACGAUGAAGUAUUAAAAACUCUUUCAAAUCUCCUUCCUACUUUUGGCCAAAAGAUUUUUUUUGAGUCAUCUAAGGAUGAGAAUACAUAGGAUGCGAUCUCCUCUUACUAUAAGUGAUCGAUUUCAUAUUGACCUACUCA
rnacentral:lncRNA from 1 species